CCCCUCUCGGGGUCGCACCUGGAGAGUUUCCAGGACUCUACCAGUCUCGGCUAUGGGAGGGAGAGUCAAGCAGAGGCCUGUCCGUUCCAUUCCUAGCUCGGCCGGCGGCUAGCCCGUGGAAGGCCAUCUGCUACUAGU